rnacentral:rRNA from 1 species
UCCUACGGGAGGCAGCAGUAGGGAAUCUUCCACAAUGGACGAAAGUCUGAUGGAGCAACGCCGCGUGAGCGAUGAAGGCCUUCGGGUCGUAAAGCUCUGUUGUUAGGGAAGAACAAGUAUCGGAGUAACUGCCGGUACCUUGACGGUACCUAACCAGAAAGCCACGGCUAACUACGUGCCAGCAGCCGCGGUAAUACGUAGGUGGCAAGCGUUGUCCGGAAUUAUUGGGCGUAAAGCGCGCGCAGGCGGUCCUUUAAGUCUGAUGUGAAAGCCCACGGCUCAACCGUGGAGGGUCAUUGGAAACUGGGGGACUUGAGUGCAGAAGAGGAAAGCGGAAUUCCACGUGUAGCGGUGAAAUGCGUAGAGAUGUGGAGGAACACCAGUGGCGAAGGCGGCUUUCUGGUCUGUAACUGACGCUGAGGCGCGAAAGCGUGGGGAGCAAACAGGAUUAGAUACCCUGGUAGUCCACGCCGUAAACGAUGAGUGCUAAGUGUUAGGGGGUUUCCGCCCCUUAGUGCUGCAGCUAACGCAUUAAGCACUCCGCCUGGGGAGUACGGCCGCAAGGCUGAAACUCAAAGGAAUUGACGG